UCUCUCCCAUCUACAGUAGAUCUCAAUCACGCCGCCUAGGCCUCUGCCACCCACCUCGCCGUCCAUGGUCCACCCCAUCCCCAUCCCCAUCCCCCUCCCCUCCCAGCGUCGGUCGGACUUCAGCGCCUCUCCUCAUGGUGACUACGGAGCACCUCACGGACGAGCGACACUUGGGAACAUACGUGCCUGUGGCCGACCGCCCUUCUCAUGCUCGAUCUCGUGGCCAUCCGUGUCACGGCUAGCAUGCGAGGGCAGGGUAGGCGGUAGAGAUCCAUUGAUGGUGGAGGUGGCUGAUGGGGACGACCAAUGCGGUGAAGCUCAGCGACGGCCGCAACUGGCGGUAGGGGCGCGGGCGGAAAGAGCUCUCCGCGGUACAGAUGGCGGUCGAGAGGAACAGAGGAUACAAGGUUGGCGGCGACCUGAGCCCAGGGAGCAUGAUCAAAGCAGCGACAAGGGGCACGACCUGAGUAGCGACCUGGCGCGUGGGGAAGAGCCUCUCCGUCUCCUACCUGUACACCAGGCUGCGCUCAUCCUACUCCUGCUCUGGCUGCCAGUAGGGUAGGCUUUUGGUACCGUCGUCGCGUCUGUUGUAGCUUCGGUUGUGCACUAUGCACAACGCUGCUACUUUGUGCUGUUUUGGUGUAUAAAAAUCGUUUUCAUAUACGGAGUGAUUAUGCCAAAGCUGCCGCAGCCACCGGAUGCCUCGUAGGAGAAGGUCGGGCAGAAGCUGAGAUGUUCCUAAUCUCCCAUCUAGCAGUUUGAUUGCUGAUGUGUUUGAUGUUGAGGUGUCAGUUCUGGAAGCAGAGGUAAUGGAAUUUGCAUUUUAUUUCCAGAAAUGCCUAUGACGGAGAUUGGAAUUUCAAGGAUGAAGAUACUGAUUUAUGCCAUCUUUCUGCUUCAAGAAUACAUUCUAUGUGCUCUCUUCCUUUCACUUCAGACUUACGAAUGUUUAGCCUGCUACGAAACUCAUGUGUUCGGCCUAAAGAGUUACAAAUUUAUCCGUGAUGGCCACAUGCACUAAUGCCUGAUGCAGUCUUGCGGGGAACAAUCAGCUAGCAGCGGCAUUUUCUCUGGCAAUGACAUGAUCAAUCCAUUGGUAGAUGAUAAUUACCUCAGGCGAAAUUACUCCGAAGUGCUCGCAGAUUACCUACACUGAAAAAUAAUUUCUUGCUCAGCGCCGACGAUUUAUUCCAGCCAACGGAGUUAAAGAUCAUAUUUAUGCAACUUACUUGACACUCCCUCCCCUUCCCGCGUGCGGGUAGUGAGGUUUGGUCGCCAGAGAUUAUCGAGAGAAGUUCAUUGCUGCGGCAUGCAGAAAGUACAGCAACAUCAGAGAUCCUUUUACAAUUGAGCUUAUUGCGUGCCGUGAUACUGUCCUGUUUGCCAAGGAUAGGGGCUCUGGGUGAAAGUGCGGAUGGAACCGAUUGCCGGAUGGUUCAAUCCCUGUGUCAGGAUAGGCAGGGACAACGAGCUGAAGGGAUCCAGUUGUUGCGCUCGAUGCAGGUUCUGUUUCAGAAGUUCAGUAACCAUCUGUCGUUCCUUGAGCCAUAGAUCCAAAUCAUACACGUAGGUAGCUAGGGCGGUGGCCACGUCGAUUAAAAGCGGUCAGAGGCAGUACUAAUCUAAUGCCAAUGCAAUCCAUCGAAGGUACACUUAAAUUUCUUGAUAUUUUUCAGUUGAAAUUUUACACUAGAGUUUUCACACGACUGCUCCAUGUAUGUCGUAAAUUGUGAUUUAUGUAAAAAAAAAUAUCUGCAUGUUUUUAAACACCCUUUAGAUUACACUUUAGAUUUCAAGAUGAAUAACAUAUAUUUACUGCUAGAGGGAUGGUGUAUAUCGCUUCUCCCCGUGGGUAGUAGCACCAAAUAUCUUUUUUCUUGCCCCACAUAAAUCUCUACAAUAAUCUUACCAGGGAGUUUAGUUUUCAUGUACGGAAAAUUUUCUAUUACCUUAUUUAGCUUGAAAAACUGUGGAAAGCAUCCAUCUUGCUGUGAUACUGGGAGUGAAAAAACAAAAGAUUUAGUCUUUUUGAGAGGGCAAAUUUUAGUCUUCUGGUAACUUUCCUGAUAUUUGUAGUAUUAUUAACUGGUCUUUGGAUUAGGAGUGUUAAGUGCCUAAUUUUUGUUGCUAGACUGACACAAAAGUUGAGAACAGUGUUGCACAAAAGCUAAUUCAAAUAAAUGUUUUUUCCUUUGAUUGAUCUUAUUACAUCAGUCUCCGUGAAGAGGCCAGCUAUCUAUGUAAUUAGGAUGAGUAGCCAACACAACAAUGUGCUUAAGAAAUGAACACGGAAAGAAGUAUGAUAGAAAUUAUUUUUCAAAAUAUAGACAUGUAUAAAUUCAUCGAAACUUUCACAUUAGUGUUAGUGUCAGACUACUUCCUUGUAUUUAAAAUUUCAGGUUAAGGGCUAGCAUUUCUCGUACUGAGAUACUAACUCACACGUUCAAAGGUAUGAAAACUGGAAAGUUGUUAUUUGUUCAAUGUAUGAAAAAUUUCGCUUAUUCUUAGAAGUAAGCAUAUGCAAAUAAUUGUCAUUUUGUUCAAAACUGUUGUUGGACUCACAAGAGCAGUAACAAAAAAGAGAUAUAUUAUAGUGGUGGUGCUCUAGAGCAGUUUGUUCUAUUUUAUAUGUGAACGUAGGCUCCGCAUACUACUUACUAAUAUCUAACAACGGACUUGCUGAGAAAAUAGGAAUGCCCGCCUGGUGACGAUAAGUAUGUGAAAAAGAAGUAAGAAAUGAGGACGAUGACACCUACUGUCAUGCAUGAAGAAAGAAGGAAGAAUUCGACUCUCAUCGACCAUUGGUCUGAAAUGAAGUUCGGUGCAUGUCACUCUUGAUUUAUUGUUUUGAGAAAUAUAAAAGGCAUGUAUCUUUUCUAUAGUUUUCUGCCCAUAUUAUGUUGAAUGGUGGUGCAUAUGAUGUUGAAUUAUGAGAAGUGAAAAUUUUGAUGUUUCUGAAAUACUAUGUGGGUAUGUUUCCUAUCUGUAAAAAAAGAGGAUGU